rnacentral:rRNA from 1 species
GACAGAGGAUGCAAGCGUUAUCCGGAAUGAUUGGGCGUAAAGCGUCUGUAGGUGGCUUUUUAAGUCUGCCGUCAAAUCCCAGGGCUUAACCCUGGACAGGCGGUGGAAACUACCAAGCUGGAGUACGGUAGGGGCAGAGGGAAUUUCCGGUGGAGCGGUGAAAUGCGUAGAGAUCAGGAAGAACACCGGUGGCGAAGGCGCUCUGCUAGGCCGUAACUGACACUGAGGGACGAAAGCUAGGGGAGCGAAUGGG